GUACGACUGACAGCAUCCCCAUCUCACCGCAGAGAGGCUGCGCUGAUGGGAAGUAAACUGUAUGCCGGUGGACGAUGACACCAGACUUUAUUAAUGUUUAUUCAUUCUUCUACCGCAAGUUACUUUAUAUCAUGAAGAGAAAGAGGAGAGAAACCCUUCAUAUAAAGACUGACAUUGAAGGGUUUCCAACAAAUAGAGCAGAAAGUGACAUUUUGUGCAGAUGCAUCGAUCAGACGCAGUCUUAUUGCUGUUUGAAAAAUAUCUGAUUCAACAGAAGGCUGAAAAUGUGUUUUUUUAUUUAAUCAAAAAUAAGUUUUAAAUAAAAGAGGGACUAAUCUGAAGGGUAAAAAAGGAGGAGGGGGGCUCUACUGCAGGGCUCUCACAUUCCAGUGCGUCGCAGAAAAAAAGGGGGGAUUUAGAGCGACUUAUUUCCUUUAAAUUGUCCUCCGGUCCGCAGAGCCAGCCAGUCUGAAGAUGUUGCAGGCCUGCACCGAAAUGCACCGGGGAUCAGACCGAGGAGCCGGUGGGGUUUCAUCUGGGUUGGAUAUCCAAGUGAGGACAAACGAUGGAAGAAGACGAAGAAAGGGACCCGCCUGAAUCACUUGAUGUUACCUUAUUUAUUAAGAUUUCGAUCGGAGGAGGUGCGUUCAUGGAUCCAGAAGUUGGAUUUGUCUUGGACCUGAGAAGCAGAGAAAAGUUUUGCUGUUGGGAAAAGUUGCACCACAGGCAGGAGUUUGCAAACAAACAAGUUGAAGCAGUGAACACAGUCAACGUCCACUAGAAGUCAAGGUCAAGACGGGCUGACAGAGACAAACAAGCGGAGGGAAACUCACACUUAUGAGAAACGUCUGAAGGAAGCUUUGCAUGAAAACAUCCCUUCAAUAUUCAACUUUAAAACUCUUAAACAGUUUUUUUCUGUAAUUGCUUGUGACUGAAACAUAAUUAAUUGACUGUGACUGGUUUUGCAAUUAAACUUCCAUGC